UACGUAGGGGGCAAACGUUAUUCGGAAUCACUGGGCUUAAAGGGUGCGUAGGCGGCCAUUUAAGUAGGGUGUGAAAGCCCCCGGCUCAACCGGGGAAUUGCGUCCUAAACUGGGUGGCUCGAGUGAGAUAGAGGUGUGUGGAACUUCCAGUGGAGCGGUGAAAUGUGUUGAUAUUGGAAGGAACGCCGGUGGCGAAAGCGACACACUGGGUCUCAACUGACGCUGAGGCACGAAAGCCAGGGGAGCGAACGGG
rnacentral:rRNA from 1 species